AGCGAACGCUGGCGGCAGGCCUAACACAUGCAAGUCGAACGAACCUUUCGGGGUUAGUGGCGGACGGGUGAGUAACACGUGGGAACGUGCCUUUAGGUUCGGAAUAACUCAGGGAAACUUGUGCUAAUACCGAAUGUGCCCUUCGGGGGAAAGAUUAAUCGCCUUUAGAGCGGCCCGCGUCUGAUUAGCUAGUUGGUUGAGGUAAUGGCUCACCAAGGCGACGAUCAGUAGCUGGUCUGAGAGGAUGAUCAGCCACAUUGGGACUGAGACACGGCCCAAAAUCCUACGGGAGGAAGCAGUGGGGAAUCUUGCGAAAUGGGCGAAAGACUGACGCAGCCAUGCCGCGUGAAUGAUGAAGGUCUUAGGAUUGUAAAAUUCUUUAACCGGGGACGAUAAUGACGGUACCCGGAGAAGAAGCCCCGGCUAACUUCGUG
rnacentral:rRNA from 1 species